rnacentral:lncRNA from 1 species
GUCUUGUCUCAAGUAUCAACAACAAUUGCUCCAUAACAACAGCCAGAGAGCCAUAAAUCCUGAGCCCGGACACAAAAAUACUUUUUAAGAUCCAAAGAAACUCUAUGAUUCUCCUUUUGAAACUAAGACACUAUAGUGACUCUCCUGCUGCUUUCUGUACAUUUUUCAGCACCAAACAGCUUGAGCAUCUUCAGUGACAAGACGACGAAAAGCAUUCCCACUAGCAUCAUCGCAGGUAAUGCAACUAUUCAUGUUAUUUCUUCUCUAUGAGUUUAAAUCAGAUUUUUUUUUUUUCAUGAUUUAACCUCUAAGAAUUUCUUUUU